GUCAAUGGGCAGGGCUUGCGAUCUUCGCAUGUGUCUUAUCGUAAAGAAUUGUUAAAAUUUAGGAUAGGGAAAAAACUAUUUAAUGGAUGAAGCGAGAACAGCAGGAAGAAAAGGAGGGAAGGUAGUUUUCUAGUACAAGCAUAUUGAGAAGAAUGGAGGACAAAGUUUGCGAAGAGCCAGGUAUAAAUAGGCUGGGGCAGGGUGCUAGUAACUGGGCGGGGUGGGGUGGUGGGAAGUCUCCCGAAAUCAGGAGGUGCGUGCCUCUGGCUUGCUGUGUGAACAGACACACUGGGUCCGGUGAUUUAAGCUGUAAAAUAUGUGAUUAGACUGCAGGUAGUCUAAAUGUCAAAACUGCAGCACUCCACAGCUCUCACUAGGCACUGCUGCCUUAGUAUUUAUUUUAAAAUAUAGAUUACAAGGCCGGGCGCAGUGGCUCACUCCUGUAAUCCCAACACUUUGGGAGGCCGAGGCGGGCCGAUCAUUUGAGGUCAGGAGUUCGAGACCAGCCUGACCAACAUGGUGAAACCCCGUCUCUACUAAAAAUUACACAAAAUUAGCUGGGCGUGGUGGUGCACGCCUGUAAUCCCAGCUACUUGGGAGGCUGGGGCAGGAGAAUUGCUUGAACCUGGGAGACGGAAGUUGCAGCGAGCUGAGAUCGUUCCACUGCACUCCAGCCUGGGCGACAGAGCUGAGACUGUCUCAGAAAAAAAAAAAAAGAAUAAAAUAUAGACUACAGGCCAGGCGUGGUGGCUCACGCCUGUAAUCCUAGCACUUAGGGAAACUGAGGCAGUCAUAUCACUUGAGGUCAGCAGUUCAAGACCAGCCUGGCCAACAUGGUGAAAGCCCGUCUCUAGUAAAAAUACAAAAAUUAGCCCUGCGUCGUGGCGUGCGCCUGUAUUCCCAGCCACUCGGGAGGGUGAGGCACCAGAAUCACCUGAACUCGGGAAGCCGAGUUUGCAGUGAGCUGAGAUCAUGCCAUUGCACUCCAGUCUGGGAGACAAAGCGAGACUCCCUCUCAAAAUAAAUAAAUAGACUACAUAGAGAUAUAUAGACUGUGUAUAUAUAUCAUAUAAUCCAUAUAAAUGCAGAAACAUUUAUUGAAAGACAUUUCGAAGCCAUCGUGUUUGUAUUUCAUGUUCAUGACAAUAAAACUUGUAAACUUCAGUAACAGUUAAACCUUCUUUAAUUAUGGAUUAGCCAUUAACAUUUUUGAAACGUGGACCAUUUAACCUCGGCCUACCCCCUCCAACUGUCCUGGUGAUGAGUUCAUUAGCUAAGUUAAAAUUAAUUUGAACUUUGAUCUAAACCAAAACAAAUCAGGAAAAUAAAGCUGUAAAGGAACUUUAUCAAGCAUUCCAAAACCAACUAGAAAUUACUUGAAGUUUUCGAGUGAGCAUUGCCUGUGCCAGUAUUCUUCAUUAUAGGAUUAUAAACUCGUUUUUUUCCCAAAGCGCAUGUCUACGCCAGGCAGAGGAGUAAUUAUUCAGCCAAUUUCAUGGAUGUAAACGAUGGAUAUAAAUAAUUGAUAGCACCUAGAGGCUUCCAGUUUGGGUGGAAGGCUAAAAGUAGAGGGGAACUCACUCACUUGAGAAAUGAUAUUUAAGUGAAUAAAUAGUUCUCUUCUAUGAAACUAUUACUAUUUAGUUCUCUGGAAAACUUAAGUGUAUUAAUGAUUAGAACAUCAAAUCCUAAGUAAAGAAAUGACAUUUUAAAUAUAAAAAGCCAAACUUUAAAUAAAUCAUAGAGACCUCAGACAUAAUAUAGGAAAGAAUUCUUUUGUCCUUGUUUACACUGUGUACAUAGUACAAAUAUAAUUUUAAAGCUACAUCCUAUAACAUUUAAGAAAUAACAGUAGUUUCAAAAUGCUUAAGAUGAGGAGAAAAAUGCCUUAGAAGACUAGGUUUCUAAAAGUCAGAAAUAAAAGUACAAGUUAUUUUUCUUCUAUCCAGCAACUUUAUAAAGCAACUUGAGUCCUGAAGAAAAGACCGUUGUUCUUUUAAGAAAUGGGUCUUCUCGAAUUAUAAACUUUAACACCAUUUUGCAUCGAAGAAUGAGAAUAUUUAGUGAGUAAUGCACCUAUGGUUUGCUUCUCUCCACACAAUUACUGAAUAUAUGGAGCAAUAUCUUCUUCUGUCCACUUCUCCCUUAGAGAGAAAAGGCUAUUAAAACGUUCCUGAUUAUCCUCAGGUAAAUCAUCUACUUUCAGCAAAAAUAUGAUUUCUGGUCUCGAGUGUCUAUCCACCAGCGCUAAACCCUACAAGAAAUGAGAAGAAACAGAGCAGUUAAAGUAAUGUUGUAAUGUUUAAACAUGACUCAUUCUUUUACCUUUAGGUUUAGCUUAGCUCAAGAUAUUCAAAAUGUCAGCUACAUGAAACUUAAACUAUCCAGAGAUUUACAAUCGCCUUUUUCAUACAAAGAGCUCCUUUAAGCAGUGACUUCUUUCCUCCUCUGCAAUCUGGCUUCUACCAUCAGCAGUCUAUCAAGACAGCUUUGGUUCUAAAGGUCACCAGUAACCUGUCAUUGCCAAAUCCAGUGGGCCCUUUUCUUGGAUUCAUCGUGUUAGCCCUCUAUUUUCUAUUUUGUUUUUUUUUCCUUUUUGAGACAGAGUCUUGCUCUGUCACCCAGGCUGGAGUGCAGUGGCACAGUCUUGGCUCACUGCAACCUCUGCCUCCUGGGUUCAAGAGAGUCUCCUGACUCCGCCUCCUGAGUAGCUGUGACUACAGGUGCACACCACCACAUCCAGCUAAUUUUUAUAUUUUUAGUAGAGAAGGGGUUUCACCAUGUAGGUUAGGCUGGUCUUGAACUCCUGGCCUCAAGUGAUCCACCCACCUCAACUUCCCAAAGUGCUGAGAUUACAGGUGUGAGCCACUGUGCCCAGUCCCUAGCCGUCUAUUUUCGUUACUGUUGAUUACUCCUCCUCCUUUAAAUAUCUCUCCAUCCCUGACAUCAGUCUUUUUAUUUUCCUCGUAACUUGAUGUUGUAGCUCCCUGAGGCUUCCAUCCCAACCACUCCACUUGCUUCACUGUCACUCUACUGAGUAACCUCAUCUAAACCUGUAGCCUGAGCCACCACUUACUUGCUAAUGACUAUAAUACUUAUAUCUUCAGCUGAGAUGUCUCUCUUGAGUCCCAGACCUCUAUAUCCAAAUCUAUACAUGAACUCAUUUAUCAUCCAAACCUGCUCUAGUUCCACUAUCCUAGGAAAACAGGAAACUGAGGCAUCAGCUUUGAUUCCAUUAGUCAAACCCCACACCUAUGUGGUCACUAAAGUCUAUAUAAUAGGUGUUAAGGCUUCAGGAUUCCUCUGUCCAUUCCCCCAUUACCUAUCUCUUUAGCCAGUACUCUCUUAGUUGGGAGCAUAUGUGUUGACAGCCUGCACAGUAAUCCUUUUUCAUAAUCUAACCAACCUUCCGUCUGUCCAUCUUGUUUAUUGUCAUAGUAUUCUUUUCAAAAGGCCAAACUGAUGAGUUCCUGAUGAGGUAACCUCUCUAACUGAUGUCACUCAGUGGCCUCAAAGAGCUUUCUAGAAAGAGUUGAAAGUCCUUAGCGCAGUCCACAGUGUCCUUACCUCACAAGCAUCCUUUACUCCAGCCCAUGCAUCCCUACAACAGUGCCUUAAUUUUUAUUUGCCCCCCACCUUUGACCGUGCUCUCCUAGAUUUCCACCUCUGGCUUUCCCUCCAUCUAGAGAGCAACAGUUCAUCUUUCCAUACUCAGCAGCUAAAACGUCUAUUCCGUCAGAAAGUCAUCCGUGAUUGACCAGUCUGAUGGCUAAGCCCCUUUUCUUUGUUCUCAUAACAUCGUGUGCAUGCCUUUCCCAUGGCGUAGAUCACUCUGCAUUGUAAGAACAGAUUUAUGCAUGUAAUAUGUCUCCCCCAUUGCCAGUUCCCAGGCUAAGCACCAUAAUGACACCUGGUAUGACAUUUCUCCUGAGCACCUAGCAUGGUGCCUCAACAUAAAAAGAACUCCAUAAAUACCAAGCAAAUCUUUUCAUUUAACUAACAAAAUAUUUACCAAGUAUACGCCACAUGCCAGGUAGUAUGCUACAUACUAGCAAGCAACAGCAAACAAAAUGCCAUCAAAGUAGAGAGUGGUGAACCACAUAAACAUUUUUCCAAGCUAAGGGGAGAGUGCCAUGAAGGAAAGAAUAGCGUGCUAUCAAAGAGUAAAACCAGAGGUCUUUGCUUCAAGCAGAGAAUGAAGGAAGGCCUCCUUGAAGUGACUCAAAGAUGAGCAGGAGGUGACCAGAUGAAAUUAGAGAGAAUAUCAUUCUAGAACAAAAAGCUUUGUGUGAAGGUCCUAAGGUAGGUGAGAGCUUGAUGAUGUUGAAAACCUGAAAGAGGGUUGGUAUGCAGUGAGCAGAAGGGAAGUAGCCAGAGAUGAAGCUAUGAAGGUGAUCCUGAAGGGCCUUAUAGGCCAAGACAUGAAUUCUGAGUUUUUUAUCCUGAGUGCAGUAGGUGACCAUUAAACUGAUUUAAGGCCGGGUGCAGUGGCUCACAUCUAUAAUCUCAGCACUUUGGGAGGCCAAGGUGGGCAGAUCACCUGAGGUCAGGAGUUCGAGACCAGCCUGGCCAACAUGGCGAAACCCCGUCUCUACUAAGCAUACAAAAAUUAGCUGGGUGUGGUGGUGGGUGCCAGUAAUCC
rnacentral:lncRNA from 1 species